ensembl:rRNA 5S_rRNA 5S ribosomal RNA
GUCCACAGCCAUACCACCCUGAAUGUACCUGGUCUUGUCUGAUCUGGGAAGCUAAGCAGGAUUGGGCCUGGUUAGUACUUGGAUGGGAGACUAUUAAUAGCCAUCAUUCAGUCACCUAGUGCUGUUUAAU